rnacentral:rRNA from 1 species
CAGCCGCCGCGGUAACACAGAGGGUGCGAGCGUUAAUCGGAUUUACUGGGCGUAAAGCGUGCGUAGGCGGCUUUUUAAGUCGGAUGUGAAAUCCCUGAGCUUAACUUAGGAAUUGCAUUCGAUACUGGGAAGCUAGAGUAUGGGAGAGGAUGGUAGAAUUCCAGGUGUAGCGGUGAAAUGCGUAGAGAUCUGGGGGAAUACCGAUGGCGAAGGCAGCCAUCUGGCCUAAUACUGACGCUGAGGUACGAAGCAUGGGGAGCAAACAGGAUUAGAUACCCCCGUAGUCCCUGUCUCUUAUACA